GGUGAGGUGUCCGAGUGGUUGAAGGAGCACGCCUGGAAAGCGUGUAUACGUUAAUAGCGUAUCGAGGGUUCGAAUCCCUCUCUCACCGCCA
rnacentral:tRNA from 2 species